rnacentral:rRNA from 1 species
AUUGAACGCUGGCGGCAGGCUUAACACAUGCAAGUCGAGCGGGGAAGGGUAGCUUGCUACCUAACCUAGCGGCGGACGGGUGAGUAAUGCUUAGGAAUCUGCCAUUUAGUGGGGGACAACAUUCCGAAAGGAAUGCUAAUACCGCAUACGUCCUACGGGAGAAAGCAGGGGAUCUUCGGACCUUGCGCUAAAUGAUGAGCCUAAGUCGGAUUAGCUAGUUGGUGGGGUAAAGGCCUACCAAGGCGACGAUCUGUAGCGGGUCUGAGAGGAUGAUCCGCCACACUGGGACUGAGACACGGCCCAGACUCCUACGGGAGGCAGCAGUGGGGAAUAUUCCGCAAUGGGCGAAAGCCUGACGGAGCGACGCCGCGUGGAUGAUGACGGUCUUCGGAUUGUAAAGUCCUGUAGAGGGGGAAGAUGGGUGCAGCAAUGCAUCUGACAGUACUCCUAAAGUAAGCUACGGCAAACUCUGUGCCAGCAGCCGCGGUAA